ensembl:lincRNA 8030423F21Rik RIKEN cDNA 8030423F21 gene
CAGGACUUGUUCGCCGCGAAACUGACUGCUUACGUUUUAUGUGGCCAUUGAUCUUUAAUCUGAGUCUGCCUGGAGGUUUCCUAUAACAUCAGGACUCCCUGGCCCUAGAUGUGAUUGCACACCGGAGGACAUUUACAUUUUAGCAAGACUCGUCAGUCAUAGCGUCUUUGGAGCAAUAAAAGGGCAUGGAGAACACGGGAGUGGAAGGAAUCCAGCGGGCAGGAGGAGGCGUUCAGUGAGGACCCAGUGCAGGGCUGUACGACGAGCCAGCUGACUUUGUACAGACAUUCCCCGAGCUCUGAUCAAGGUGCCUCGCCGCCUGCUCGAAGUGUUCCUGUUACUCUCCUGUCACCGAUGGGCUGGUGCGCCUGUGCCGCUGAACUAUUUGCCUUGACUGAACCUUUCUUGCCAGACAGCAUCACGACUCCUGAGAAGACAGAGGGGACAGACCUUGAUCUUGCUUCCAGAACAAGUUGUCGGGAUGGUUGUGGGGCUGUCUUGCUGACACAUGUCUGCGUGGGCGGUGGCAGCCAUCCAGAAGCUUGUCAGCAGAGCUUGGGGUCAUUUGUGCAGCAGAAGCCUGAGGUUACACCUGCAUCCUGCCUAGCGAUCUUCGUCCUUCUCCUUGGCCGUGGACUCCCCUGCAGGAUGUAGAAGCCCACAGGGGCCCAUGGAUCCCUUCAAGGAUGAAGUUUUGAGUUUGUAAAAAUUCUCACUCUCACAGAGAAUAAUGAUCAGACUAAAGUACAGUCAUAAACAGAUUAAAUGAUAACAUGGGCACAUCAUCACUAACAUCUCAAACAAGGCUAACAGUAACGAUGAGAGACACCCUUAAUAUCUGCGAGUCCUCUUAUACUAUUCUGUCUUAGGGUUUCUAUUGCUGUAAGAGACACUAUGACUAUAGCAGCUCUUAUAUAUGAAAAGAAAGGGUGGCUUGCAGUGGCUUACAGUGCAUUAUCAUCAGGGCAGGAAACAUGGUGGCACGAAGGCAGACAUGGUGCUAGAGAAGGAGCGGAGAGUUCCACAUCUGGAGCGGCAGGAAGAGAGUGUGACUCUGGGCCUGGCUUGAGCGUCUGAAACCUCAAAGCCCAUCCCCAGUGACACACUCCUCCAACAAUGCCUUGCGUACUCCAACAAGGCCACAACACUUAAAAAAAAAGAUUUGUUUUAUUUAUAUGAGUACACUGUUGCUCUCUUCAGACACACCAAAAGAGUGCAUCAGAUCCCAUUACAGAUGGUUGUAAACCACCAUGUGGUUGCUGGGAAUUGAACUCAGGACCUCUGGAAGAACAGUCAGUGCUCUUAAUUGCUGAGCCAUCUCUCCAGCCCAAGGCCACGCCUCUUCAUAUUGCCCCUCUUCAUAGACCUAUGGGGGCCAUCACCAUUCAAACCACUACGGGCUCUGACCGUUGCUUCAUUCAUCAUGAAAUUCCAUGCUAAAGUUCAGUUCCUGGGCAUAGACAUGAAGAUGCUAAAGUUUCUACUGUCCAGCCUAACAGCUUCUUAAGCCCCAUGGCCCUCUAGAUAAGAGCUCCAAUAUGGAAGCUGCCAACAGCUGAACAGCUGGUUACUGUUGAGACCAAGCCAGCUCAGCUUAGAUGAUGGGGGGAAAAACCCAACACAGAGAGGGUUCAUUGCUGGUUUUGAUGUUGCUGUGUAGUGGGAAUUCUCCAAUUUUGGAUUCUUUAAAAGACACAGAAAUACUAUAAGAAUAUGUUUUUGUUUUAAUGCCCGGUGUGGGGAUAUGGGACUGCUUCGGAGCAACUGACUAUGAUUUGCUUCAUGCUCUAGCAGAGGCGUGGUUUUGCCAGCUGCAGAUAGUUUCCGCGAUUGUGUGACAGUUGGGGUUCUGGAAGGUUUUCAGAAGAUAUAUAAAUGCUAAGGCCCCACGGGUGGGGUUGGUGGUUGGUGGUUGAUCAGGGGAGCCAGUUCUGGCUUGUUAAUAGUGGUGGUCAAAGAAGAAACAAGAAGAAAGAAAUUAGAUUCAGGGGUCUCUAUCUCUCUCUUCCCCCCUCUAUCCUUCUUUCUCUCAUAUAUAUCUAGUGUUGGGGGUGACUGGGGUGGGGGCAAAGGGUAGGAAAAAGAAGAACCCACAAAGUAGCAAAGACUAGCUAUAAGCAAAGAAGAAACAAGAAUUAAAAAAUUAGAUUCAGGGAUCUCCCUCCGGCAUCCUUUCUCUCCUAUCUAGUGAUAAGGGGUGAGACUGGUGGGAUAAAGGCUGGGAAAAGAAAGAACACAUAAAGUAACAAAGACCGGCUACAUUGUGGUACUAAAAGACUGCCGUGCUGGUAGGCAUGCAUCUGUCCGGCCAGGGCUCAGCAUAGUGGCUUUCUCUUGUUCUUGCACAAGCUUCAUUUUAGAGAAAGUAGCACUAUUAGGUCUUCCCGAGGUCUGGGCUUGGAUGUCCCACAGUAUUGCGUCUGUAACUUAGUAUUGAUCAAAACAAUCCUGUCUGAUUCUUUGUAUCUCCAUCAGUUUUAUAUUUCCGAGAAAAGUCAGCUUACAAAGAGGACGUUUAUUCUGGUCAAUGCUUUCCUGGGUGAUUGAGAUGAGAAUGUUCUCCAUAGGUUUCGAUGUUUGAAUUCUUGGUCCCUAGUUAACAGCACUGUUUGGGAAGGAUCAGGAGGCGUGGCCUUGAUGGAAGGAAUUUGUCAGUGGUGGGUGAGCUAUGAGGUUUGAAGGUCUCAUGACAUUUCCAGUGAGCUCUCAGCUUCCGGUUCUUUUCAGCAUCCUAUCAGCUGUUCGCUGCCAUGUCUUCCUGUUCUGACAGGCUCUUAUCUCUCUGGAACCAGAAGCCCAAAUACUUUUCUCUCCGUCAUGGCAUUUUAAUCUCAGCAAUAGAAAAGUAACC